rnacentral:rRNA from 1 species
GUGUCAGCAGCCGCGGUAAUACGUAGGGUGCAAGCGUUGUCCGGAAUUAUUGGGCGUAAAGAGCUCGUAGGCGGUUUGUCGCGUCUGCUGUGAAAACUCGGGGCUUAACUCCGGGCCUGCAGUGGGUACGGGCAGACUAGAGUGCGGUAGGGGAGACUGGAAUUCCUGGUGUAGCGGUGAAAUGCGCAGAUAUCAGGAGGAACACCGGUGGCGAAGGCGGGUCUCUGGGCCGUAACUGACGCUGAGGAGCGAAAGCGUGGGGAGCGAACAGGAUUAGAUACCCUCGUAGUCC